UCGUGGAGUGAUUUGUCUGGUUAAUUCCGAUAACGAACGAGACCUUAUUCUGCUAAUUACGCAGGCUAACUCUUUCGGGUUGGUUUAUGUUUAUCAUUUAACUGUGUUCUUAGAGAGACUAUCUGCUUGAAGCAGAGGGAAGUUUUAGGCAAUAACA
rnacentral:rRNA from 1 species